UACGAAGGGGGCUAGCGUUGCUCGGAAUGACUGGGCGUAAAGGGCGCGUAGGUGGCCUUUUGAGUCAGACGUGAAAUCCCCCGGCUUAACCUGGGAACUGCCUGUCAGACUGGAAGGCUUGAGACCGGGAGAGGUGAGUGGAAUUCCCAGUGUAGCGGUGAAAUGCGUAGAUAUUGGGAGGAACACCAGUGGCGAAGGCGGCUCACUGGACCGGAACUGACGCUGAGGAGCGAAAGCGUGGGGAGCGAACAGG
rnacentral:rRNA from 1 species